rnacentral:lncRNA from 1 species
GCAGCUGUAAUAGGCCAAUUUAGCCCGGGCCCAAAUAAAAAAAACAGAAUAUAAAAAUAAAAAAACAAAUAAUAAGAGUCCAAGUCCAUUUACAAAAAACAUCAGGCCCAAACUUACAAACCCAAAUGGCCCAAAAAAAUAAAAAUAAAAACCUUAAUGGCCGAGUGGACCACAACCUAAAAUUUUUUCAGAAAAAAAAACCCUAGUGCUCCCUGCGCC